UGACUUGGUCCCUGUCCUCAAAGGAAUCUAAAAACAGUCGUAAAAGACACCUAUGUAAACAAUUAAAAUGAACAGGAUGAAUGCUAUAACAAAGACAUUAUUGAAAUUUUGUAGGAGUAUUGAAAAAGAACAGGUAACAAGAGGGCUCAAGAAAGCUUCACAAAGGGGGAACAAGCUGGUCUUAAAAGGUAAAGAGAAGUUUGUCAGGAGUAGAAGGGAUGGAAAAGCAUUUCAAAUAAAAGGAGCAGCUUGUACAAAGCAGAAAAGUGUGUGCCAAGGAAUGAUAUGAACUCAUGAACUUCAGUGUGAGUGGACUAUAGGGAACAGUGUUAUAAAAUGAAGCUGGAGAAGAAGGUUGGCCUGAGAUUGCAAGGGGACCAAAAAUUCUGUUAAGAAGCUAAGCAUUUUGACCAGCAGCAGACAGCCCCAAACAUUUUCAAGCAGGGACAUCACAUGAGAACCAGUUUUUGGACAGUAACAAUGAUUUGAAACAAACGCAGAUAGUACUCAGUGAAUCUCAUCUGUAAGUCCUCUACAUACCCUGAGCGGUGAAAUGGAAAACAACUUAUCCAAACAGCAUUAUAAGAGAAGGACUACCGGUCUGACAAAAUUCUGCCUCUAAGGAACGUGGUGAAUAUUCUGGGAUUAUGAAAGCCAACUUGGCAUAUUACGAACACUGACUUUUAUAAAUAACAGAUCUUUAUAAGUGCUAAUAGUACACGUUUAAUUUGGUAAACAACAACAACAACAGGCAUUUCCAGCAUUAAACAGAAUUAAACAAUUUGGAUGUGAAAAUACAUAGGAACUAUGUUUCUUGGCUCAAUAAUUUUUAAGUACUAGUCUCACAAGGAACUGAAGUGUAGUAAUUACUUAUGUUCAACAGAUGGCGACCUUUACAUUGUAGUCAGCAAAACAGUAUUUGCAUAAAACAGUAUACUCAACCAGCAGAAAAUCAAAGAUCAAUUACAAAUAUUCCAUAUUUUGCAAGAGACAAAAAUUACUUGAUCAUAUACACCAUUUUUUGACAGGUGGUUUUUUUACAGGUUGGCAAACAUAUUUUGUGGGAAUGUAUCUUGCUGUUCUAUUUUUUGGGGCAAGUCCAAUUGCUAAUUCUUAUCUCAUGAAAAUAUGUGCAAAUAUCAGGCUAGGGAAUAAUUCCUGCUUUCUUUGCAUAGCUUAUUAAGAAUAGCAGCUUUAGGUAAUAUACUCAACUAACGUGUCUUAAUAAGGAUAUGUCACAAGACACCAGUAUGUUUGUGAAACACAGCAAUAAUGAAGACAUGGGAUGGGUCAGCAAACUAUUUCUUCAUUAAUCUAUUUUGUGUGGGUCAAUGAAUAUCAACAAAGUUUUAAAAAAACUUACAAAACAGUAUGUUCAGAAAUAUGUAAUUUAUGCUUCCUAAAUUUUCAAUGAAUGUACAAAGGUAAUAGGUUUCUCCUUAAGAAGUAACAUUAACUCUAUUCUUCCAGUGCUAAAAUUCCAUUCUGAUGGCCUUCAGCCAGAAAUCAUGUGGGCAUUAUUUGGUGCUAGAAGAUAGCCUACAAGAAGACGGUUUCCCGGCUCAACAUAACUGUUUUAGUUUGUGUAUUGUAAUUGGUAACCUGAGUUUGAAUUGUUUUUCUACUAAAGGGAGAAGCAGUCACUCCUCUCCUAAUGAGCAUUUUAAUUCUUUGACAAUUGGGAAGCCAUAUCAUACCUUAUAAUUCUUAACCAUUGAUAUGGUUUGGCUCUGUGUCCCCACCCAAACCACAUGUCAAAUUGUAAUCCCCACGUGUUGAGGGAGGGACCUGGCAGGAGGUACCUGGAUCAUUGGGGUGGUUUUCCCAUGCUGUUCUUGUGACAGUGAGAUUGUUCUCAUGAGAUCUGGUUGUUUAAAAGUGUGUGGCACCUCCCCCUUCUCUCUCUCUCCUGCUCCACCAUUGUGAAGAUGUACCAGCUUCCCCUUCACCUUCCACCAUGAUUGUAAGUUUCCUGAGGACUCCCACCCAUGAUUCCUGUUAAGCCUGUGGAACUAUGAGUCAAUCAAACCGCUUCCUCAUAAAUUACUGUCUCAGGUAGUUCUUUUUAGCAGUAUGAGAACAGACUAAUACAACCAUAAUAAAUAUGUGAAAAAUCAGAACCCAUCAUUCUUUAAGCAAGGGAGAUAAAGAAAAGACUGAUAAAAAUGUUUUGAUCAUUAUUUUAGAUAUCCUUUUGCUAAACUAAAAUACCACUUUAUACUUAUAUAUAGCAUUAAAAAUUUGAAACUACAAAGAUUGAUAUUAUUAUAAUAUAGUAGAAAAUUGAGAACAUGGUGAGAUCAAGAAAAACAUUUUUUAACUUAAAUAUACUUUGACAAUAUGAUUUUUUGGCAUAAAUGUGUGUGUGUGUGUGCAUGUAUAACAUAAUUAUCUCUAAAUAAAAUUUUCUAUGGUCUCCCAUAAUUCUCUAUUCUGGUAGGCCAUAUAUUAUUAAUAACUUUCUAUUAUUAAUAGUUACUGAUAAGAUGGCUGUUGCCUCUUUUAAAUCAAUGUUGUAGAUUAGAUUCUUAUAUUUAAACAUUUCCUUAUUAAUGAUAAAAUUUUCUCUAUUAGUAUUUCUGUUCAGAGCACUAACUAAGCAUCUCAUAUACCUAUUUCUAAAAUUGUUAUUCUCUCCUCAUGGGAAUCACCAUGCUCUUCAUGUUGAAACACACCAAAAACACAAAGGAAGACAUUAAAAAACAAAUGUUCAUUUAAUGAAAAAAAGUCUUUCACUAAUUAACAAACAGAAAAUAUCAAGAAAAAAGUGUCAACUUUUGGCAAUUAGAUUACUCCAACAAAGUACAAUUCCCCUUUCAAGUGACUUAGGUAUGGUUUCACUUUACUUUCAAUAUAGGUAUUAAUGUUUUGAUAUUUUAAUGUCUUGAUAUUUAUAUCGAACUUAUAUUCCAUUAGAGAUAGUGUGUGCCACGCUGUAAACAACUUCCCUAAAAUUAGAGAAUUGGAAAAAUAUGCAAUUAUAUAUAAUUAGUAACUUUUAGUACCAAACAUGGUGGGGCAUACUAAAAUUCUCACAUUCAAAGAACUUUUACUGUAGUUGAGAAAAGAGAAUAUGGAGACAGAUACCUGUCAUCCAAAGGUAAAAAGGAAGCACCAAAAGAGAGGUGACAACAAUGCUUCCAAUUGGGUCCAAGUCAAUGAUUCUACUUAAGAAUAAUUUUUUCUUAAAUGACAAUCUGUCAAAAUGAGGAUUAGUAUACAAAGACAGUUAGUGUAUGUUAUGGACCGAACUGUAUCCCUCCAUUAUUCAUAUGUUGAAGCCCUAACCCACAAUGUGACUAUUUGGAGAUAGGUCCUUUAAAGAGGUAAUUAAGGUUAAAUGAAGUCAUAAGGGUGGGACCCUGACCCAAUAGAACUGAUGUCCUCAUGAGAAGAAGAGACCCCAGAGCUUUCAUGAGAAGAACAGACCCCAGAGCUUUCACUCUUUCUCUGUGCCCCCACAGAGAAAAAGCCAUGUGAGGAGACACAGUGAGACAGUGGCCAUACACAACCGUUAGGAAAGGCCUCAACAGACACCAACUCUGCUGGCACCUUGACCUAGAACUUACAGUCUCCAGAACUAUGAGAUAAUAAGUUUCUACUGUCCCACCUAACCAGUCUGUGUAUCUUGUGGCAGCCUAAACUGACUGAAAACAGUAUAUUUCUAACUGAAGAAACAGUUCACCAGAGAUGAAUUUUAUAAUCUUAACAACCACCUUCAAGAUUAGUCAUUUCAUUGAAUUGCUAGGCCUUUACUUACAGUUGCAGCUACAGUUGCAUCCAGGAAGAAAUACGAUGACUACUAGAAUGCCUUUUCCUUCCAAUUUAUACUAUUACACUAAGACUUUUGUUUUUAAAGAGCUCAAACUUCGGUAGGAAACUUAAGACAUGUAGACCAAUAUCCAUAAGACAAAUUAGAAAAUCAAGUGUCAAAUGAGAGGUAAAAAUUGUGUAGCAUGUAAGUUCAGAGGUGACAAAAUUAUUCCUACUGUGGGGUGGGGCAGUGGAGAGGGCGCUCUGUAGGUGAGAAUGUAUGAUUGUGGGAAGGAAUAAGAAAAUCUAGGCCAGACGCAAUGGCUCACACCGACGAUCCUAGGACUUCGGGAGGCUGAGGCAGGCAGAUUGCCAAGAGUUCGAGACCAGCCUGGGCAACAUGGCAAAAUCCUGCCUUUACAAAAAAUUAGCCAGGUGUGGUGGUGUGUGCCUGUAGUUCCAGCUACUUGGGAGGCUGAGGCGGGAGGAUCACUUGAGCCUGGGAGGUCGAGGUGCAGUGAGCCAUGAUGGCGCCACUGCACUCUAGCCUGGGUGACAAAGCGAGACUCUGUCUCAAAAAACAAAACAAAACAAAACAAAACUUGGAAAAGGGAAUAUUUACACUCAAUGCAGUCAUUCUCAGUAGCACACAAUUGGCAUAUUGGGCUGGAUGAUUCUUCAGUCUGUGGGAUUCUUCAGUGCAUUACAAGAUAUUUAGCAUCCUCCUUCCUUUUAAUGUCUGUACAUUAGCCUACACAUUUCCAAAGGCUACUCAGCAACAGAAUCUCCCCAGGAGAGAACUAGAAGUAAACUUUUAAGGAUGUGAAGAAAACAGAUGUGUUCUAACAAAAUUUAUUAAGUGAAAUUAAAUGGCUAAUACUUAAGAUUCCAAAUGCUAUAUAUGGAAGACUAUAACAUGCAAAAUCAUAAUAUUUUAAGUACUGCUUUCCUGUUUUAAGUGUUCAUUACAUUUACUCAGUAAAUCCUAAUUUCCCAUUUUGAAGCUUCUCAUUUCAUUGCUUCAUUCACAUAUCUCUGAUUAUAUUUGAUUUCUAAAUACAUUUGCUUGCUCAUUACUCUUAGGCUGCCUGUGAUGAAGUCAACAAAUAAACAUCCUUAAUUUAAGGCAAAAAAAUAAAGUAAAUGCAUGUUCCUUUUGACUUCCACAUGACUUUCAGUCCUCCCUUAACUGAUCUUUUACUUUGAAGACUUCUAAAUGCUGUGUUUGUGAUCUGGGUUGAAGAUCUAAGGAGAAAAGAUGAGAAGUGACCAAGGCAAAGAAAGUGAUGAGAAGAUGAAUAAAAGAGAACCUGUGCAACUGAGGUCUAAACUGGGGUCUACAAAAAUAUGAUUCUUUUGCAGAUCAGGUUCUCCAGAAAGCAGAGCUUAGCGCUUAGCAUGCAGGAUGCUUAUUAAGAAAUGUCUCUAGGGUCAACAACCGUGAAGGGGAAAGGACAGAAAAGGAAGCAGGAGUGGGUAGGAGAGGUGGAGUUGCAAACAAAACUUAGGACAGCCUCAGCUGAUACCACAGCAGCUCAGGAGCUAGAAUGGUCCCUCCAAGUUGGUCUUAAUUGGGAUGAAAUAACCAGGUUUUUUACUUCCCUCUCUUCCCACUUAUCAAUUAGUUCACUGCAUGUGGGCAGCACCACCAAGCCUAGGGUCUUGAAGAGGGACUGUCUGCAGCUGAGGUGAUUUGUGAAGGGGCUGGCACGUGAAGGCUGUCUGCCUACGACACUCCCAUCAGCAGAGGUAUCAAGUCCUCCACUGAAGUGGUAUCUGAGUGGGCAGCACAGUGUCCACCACAGAUUCCAACUCCAUAUUUUAAAGAAGUGGAAACUUGGGGACAGAAAGUAAUCAGUGAGUUACAAAUCUCAGUCUAAACCCCAGAAUUUAUCACUUGCUGCUUCUUACUACUUCUAACCAAGAAAAAAAUGCUAUGAUCCCUAUUUUGGAAAGAAUGUGCAAGGAAAUUAUUUACUUGGUUUAAGGAAUUUUCUGGAAUGGGAUGAACAAAAGCAAAGUGUCCAGACAAUUCUAGCUAAGAUUUUACAGAGAAGACUAAAUCCUCAAAUUCAUCACUAUUGUGAAGAGCAUCAUAUGUCAAAUGUAAUACACCAAAGUGUUUUCGUAUUUUCUGUAUGGCUUUAUGUAUGCUCUGCAGGAUAUUCUGUUUGUGUUCCCUACAUUCAUGUUACCAACAUAUAUUUAUGCCUCUCUUUUCUAGGUCUUCAUUGGGUCUCAACAGGAAAAAUAUUAAAUUGUUAAUAAUCAGGGCUGGUACCAACUAGAUGAGCACACUGCAAUUAGCAGCCUGACUAACCUCCCUGCUUCUUCAUUUUCUAAUUUUAUUUGCAAGCAGUUAGAUAUGAUAUAAUAAUUUCCCAUUUAAAAUGCUAUGGAUAGGAAUGGGAAUAUAAGUGUUUUGUCUAUGUACAGGAGUUCUGUUUUUCUAGCACACUUCCCUGCCUAGCCUGGACUCCAGCCACACUGACCUUUCUGUUCUGUAUUCUUGCCAUGCUCCUUUCCACACUUGUCUCCCCACCCUCAAGUCAUCACACGGCUGACUCCUUUUCCACUCCCAGCUGCUGGCAUUAAGGUCGUCUCCUCAGAGGUCCACAUAAUCUAAAGUAAUCCUUCCCUGACUAAGCCAAACUUAUUUUAUAUUAACUUAUUAUCUUGGUAACACAAUUACCUCAGAUCAUCUUGCUUAUACAUUUAUCUGUUAUUCAUUACUGUAUCCCUAGUACAUUGAUUAGUGCCUGGCAUUUACAUAUACAGCAAUUAUGCAUUUGAAAGAAUGAAUGCUGGCAAUGAGUAAAUAUUUACAAUUUAUAUGAUUUUAAAUACACAUCAGAAACACAAUAAUUACAAAAUUACAUAUCUGGAGGGAAAAUCAAUUCAUUCUAUAUUUUUGAAUAAUUUUGAAAAAAAGAAGGAACUGCUACUCUGUGUCCUAAUACCACAAUUUGUAUUAAAUAAACUCUAAGAUGUCUAUCUAUCUGAGCCUUCCUAAAGGGCACAAUGAUGCACGAAAGAAUGCUUUUGUUUUCCACAAAUACUGUAAUUUUUGAGGUAACAAAAAUACAUUGGACCAUGUGUGAGACAGUCUUCUGAAUAAAACACUGUAAGAAAAAAAUGUUGAGGCCAGGCAUGGUGGCUCACAUCUGUAAUCCCAGCACUUUGGGAGGCCGAGGCACAGGCGGAUAACUGGAGGUCAGGAGUUCGAGACCAGCCUGGCCAACAUGGUGAAACCCUGUCUCUACUAAAAAAACUAUAAAAAUUAGCUGGGCAGGUGGUGCACACCUGUAAUCCCAGCUACUCAGGAGGCUGAGGCAGGAGAAUCACUCAAACCUGGGAGGUGGAGGUUGCAGUAAGCCAAUACCGCACCAUCGCACUCCAGCCUGGGUGACAGAGCACAACUCUGUCUCAAAUUUAAAAAAAGGAAAGAAAGAAGGAAAAGGAAAGAAAAGAAAAGAAAAGAAAAGAAAGAAAGAAAGAGAAAGAGAGAAAGAAAGGUUGAAAACAUUCUUAAGAGCAACUUCCCAAUUUCACUUUAAAAACAAGCCUAUAAUGAAGAAAGUCUGUAUAAGAGAGACAAACAAAAACAAGUCAUAAAUUAGGUCACUAGAUUUACAAUAAUAUUUUUGCAAGAAGCUUUUAUAAUUUUUGGCUAGCAUUUAAGCUAGGAAUAUAAAAUGUCCCAGGAGAUUCACUGAACUCAGGAAUUCAUCUUCUGACAGGGUCAAAUGGAAUGUCCUUUAUGAUCCUGGCUGAAUAUUUAUCCUCACACUCAAGUAUGGAUCAUUCCAUUUAUCUAAGUCUAUGCUUUUAAUGAAACACUAAAUACUUCAUUUUUAAUUAAGCAAGGAGCCAAAUCUGGACCUCCUCCUCUUCAUAGAGCCAUCCUGAAUAGUACCUACUUUAAAAGAUACCUAAAUCUACAAUGCACGCA
rnacentral:lncRNA from 10 species